UACGUAGGGUGCAAGCGUUGUCCGGAAUUAUUGGGCGUAAAGAGCUCGUAGGCGGUUUGUUGCGUCGGCUGUGAAAUCCCGAGGCUCAACCUCGGGUCUGCAGUCGAUACGAGCAAACUAGAGUGUUGCAGGGGAGACUGGAAUUCCUGGUGUAGCGGUGGAAUGCGCAGAUAUCAGGAGGAACACCGGUGGCGAAGGCGGGUCUCUGGGCAACAACUGACGCUGAGGAGCGAAAGCGUGGGGAGCAAACAGG
rnacentral:rRNA from 1 species